rnacentral:ncRNA from 1 species
CAAAAGCUUGGUCCUGGCUUUUCUAUUGGCUCUAGCUAAACUUACACAUGCAAGCCUCCACGCCCCCGUGAGGAUGCCCCAUAGUUCUCUGCCCGAGAACAAGGAGCCGGUAUCAGGCACAAUAUUCAUUAGCCCAUGACGCCUUGCUUAGCCACACCCCCAAGGGAAUUCAGCAGUGAUAAAUAUUAAGCCAUAAGUGAAAACUUGACUUAGUUAAUGCUUAAAGGGCCGGUAAAAGUCGUGCCAGCCACCGCGGUUAUACGACAGGCCCAAGUUAAUAGAGAUCGGCGCAAAGCGUGGUUAAGAAAACUUUACAACUAAAGCCGAAUGCUCUCACGACUGUCGUACGUCUCUGAAAGUAAGAAGCUCAACUACGAAAGUGGCUUUAAUAAUUCUGACCCCACGAAAGUUGGGAAACAAACUGGGAUUAGAUACCCCACUAUGCCCAACCCUAAACCUUGAUAGAUAUUGAUUUUCUAUCCGCCUGGGUACUACUGGCGUUAGCUUAAAACCCAAAGGACUUGGCGGUGCUUUAGACCCACCUAGAGGAGCCUGUCCUAGAACCGAUAAUCCCCGUUAAACCUCACCUUCUCUUGCAAUUUCAGUCUAUAUACCGCCGUCUUCAGUUUACCCCGCGAGGGGCGCAUAGUAAGCGCAAUCAGUUUAGCUCAGUACGUCAGGUCGAGGUGCAGCUUACGAGAAGGGAUAAGAUGGGCUACAUUCCCUGAUUCAGGGCAUACGGAUAAUGCAUUGAAACAUGCAUUUGAAGGCGGAUUUAGCAGUAAGCUGAAAAUAGAGUGUUCAGCUGAAGCAGGCACUGAAGCGCGUACAUACCGCCCGU